rnacentral:tRNA from 1 species
AUUUGGAUAGCUCAGUUGGUAGAGCGGAAGCUUGAAAAGCUUUGUGUCGGUGGUUCAAGUCCAUCUCCAGGCA